rnacentral:lncRNA from 1 species
UGGAAAAUGGGCAUCUCUCCUUCCCAUGUUAAGCUUUAACCUCUGUAAUCUGCCUGUAUCUAUAGGUGGGCAUCUCACUCCACCAAAGGAGCCCAGCCUCUCUUUGUCCCUCUAUCCAUGCAACAGUCUUCUCUGUGCAUUUCCCCAAGCUGGGCCCUCUUCUACUCUCCAUUUAGGCCUGUUGAUAACUCCAUUACCCGCCCAUCACUGCUGUUCCUCCAGGGCCAGCACUCGGGCGAGGCAGGGGAGCUGCCUUCGGUACAUAAUUUGAAGGGGCACUCCCUCUUGGGCACAUGCCGGCCCUGAGUGCCUCCCUUGCCUCACUCUGAUCCUGGCCCCAUAAUGUCCUCAGUGGAAGGUGAUGGGGGCCGGUGCUGUGGGGAGAGUAGAAAGAGGGGUUGGCAUGACUAAAAAUACCAGUAUGUGUAUUAAGUAUUUUGAGAAUGAAAUGCCAAGGAGUGCCUACUAUAUGCCAGCUCUAGGAAUGGAGUAGACAGUGGACACAAGAAGGACUUACGCCCUGAGCACAGGUGCCAAUGGUGACAAGACUGGCAAGACGUGAGGGCAUGAAUGGUUCAUUCAGGCAGCUGCUGCAGAUGUGGUCACCUGGUGCCAUCUGCUGCUCCCUUUUCCACUUUUCUAUGUCCUCCUUCCACCCCAAGUCCCGGAUCACUCGCUGUUUUCUGGCUAGCUCUUGGCAUCUCCAUCUGAGCCUAAAGUUGCCCACUGGCACCAAUAGAUUCUGUUUGACCUGCUGUGCCCAUGCUCAUCUUUGUCGGGGCUUGGCUUGGCAGCGAGCGAGGCUGGCAUGGGGUGCUGAAGUGGGGUCUCAGUGAGGGGUGACAGCGUGCUGGCAGUCCUCACAGCCCUCGCUCGCUCUCGGCGCCUCCUCUGCCUGGGCUCCCACUUUGGCGGCACUUGAGGAGCCCUUCAGCCCACCGCUGCACUGUGGGGAGCCCCUUUCUGGGCUGGCCAAGGCCAGAGCAGGCUCCCUCAGCUUGCAGGGAGGUGUGGAGCGAGAGGCGCGAGCGGGAACCGGGGCUGCAUGCAGCGCUUGCGGGCCAGCUGGAGUUCCGGGUGGGCAUGGGCUUGGCGGGCCUGCACUCGGAGCAGCCGGCCGGCCCUUCCGGCCCCGGGCAGUGAGGGACUUGGCACCCGGGCCAGCGGCUGCAGAGGGUGUACUGGGUCCCCCAGCAGUGCCGGCCCACCUGCGCUGUGCUUGAUUUCUCGCUGGGCCUUAGCUGCCUUCCCGCGGGGCAGGGCUCGGGACCUGCAGCCCGCGGUGCCUGAGCCUCCCACCCGCUCCAUGGGCUCCUGUGGGGCCCGAGCCUCCCCGACGAGUACCACCCCCUGCUCCAGGGCGCCCAGUCCCAUCGACCACCCAAGGGCUGAGGAGUGCGAGCGCACGGCGCGGGACUGGCAGGCAGCUCCACCUGCAGCCCCGGUGCGGGAUCCACUAGGUGAAGCCAGCUGGGCUCCUGAGUCUGAUGGGGACGUGGAGAGUCCUUAUGUCCUGCUCAGGGAUUGUAAACACACCAAUCAGCACCCUGUGUUUAGCUCAAGGUUUGUGAGUGCACCAGUCGACACUCUGUAUCUAGCUGCUCUGGUGGGGCCUCGGAGAACCUUUAUAUCUAGCUCAGGGAUUGUAAAUACACCCAUCGGCACUGUGUAUCUAGCUCAAGGUUUAUAAACACACCAAUCAACACCCUGUGUCUAGCUCAGGGUUUGUGAGUGCACCAAUCAACACUCUGUAUCUAGCUGCUCUGGUGGGGCCUUGGAGAACCUGUGUGUCGAAACUCUGUAUCUAACUAAUCUGAUGGGGACGUGGAGAACCUUUGUAUCUAGCUCAGGGAUUGUAAACGCACCAAUCAACGACCUGUCAAAACAGGCCACUCGGCUCUACCAAUAAGCAGGAUGUGGGUGGGGCCAGAUAAGAGAAUAAAAGCAGGCUGCCCGAGCCAGCAUUGGCAACUCGCUCGGGUCCCCUUCCACGCUGUGGGAGCUUUGUUCUUUGCAAUAAAUCUUGCUACUGCUC